rnacentral:misc_RNA from 1 species
UUUCCGUAGGUGAACCUGCGGAAGGAUCAUUAUCGUACAAAAUGUGAGGGGCAUGCGAGGGCUGUCGCUGACCCAUAAGUCGUGCACGCCCGAGUGUGUCCUCUUGCAUAAUAAUCCAUCUCACCCUUUGUGCAUCACCGCGUGGGCACCCUUCGGGAUCAUCUCGGAGGGGGGCUCGCGUUUUCACACAAACCCCCCUUUUAAAAGUGUAGAAUGACCACAUUUAUGCAAUCAAUACAACUUUCAACAACGGAUCUCUUGGCUCUCGCAUCGAUGAAGAACGCAGU